AAAAGUGAAAAAACGUGUGAAAUUGAUGCUGUGUUGCUGUCGCAUCUGACGACACUAGGCAUCCUGAAGGAUCUGCAGUACAGGUUCUAAUUGAAAUCUAGUCGGCUGCCAAAGCCCCCAACCUGAAGCACAAGGCUUUUUUAGGAAUUGUGAGAUUUCGUGGAAUGGCUACUUCCGCAUUCCCGAUCGGUGGUGUUGGCGCAACUCUCAAUGCUGAUGAUGUCCUUCAGAUCGCAGCAGG
rnacentral:lncRNA from 1 species